GGAGGGGUGGCUGAGUGGCUGAAAGCAGCGCCCUGCUAAGGCGUUAUACCUCUAACAGGGUAUCGAGAGUUCGAAUCUCUCCCCCUCCG
rnacentral:tRNA from 1 species